GACGAACGCUGGCGGCGUGCCUAAUACAUGCAAGUCGAACGCAGUGGGGACGGGUGAGUAACACGUGGGUAACCUCCCCUCAGAGGAGAUAACACUUGGAAACAGGUGCUAAACCGAUACUGAUGUAUGUACCCGCGGUGCAUUAGCUAGUUGGUGAGGUAACGGCUCACCACGGCUACGAUGCAUAGCCGGCCUGAGAGGGUGAUCGGCCACACUGGAACUGAGACACGGCCCAGACUCCUACGGGAGGCAGCAGGAGGGAAUCUUCGGCAAGGGACGAAAGUCUGACCGAGCAACGCCGCGUGAGUGAAGAAGGUUUUCGGAUCGUAAAACACUGUUGUUAGAGAAGCGGGAACUAAAGAGAAAGCCACGGCUAACUACGUGCCAGCAGCCGCGGUAAUAG
rnacentral:rRNA from 1 species